AGCGGUUAAGACACCGCCCUUUCACGGCGGUAACACGGGUUCGAAUCCCGUACGGGUCA
rnacentral:tRNA from 3 species